GGAUUAUGGCUUAGUGGUAGAGUGCUCGCCUAGCAUGUGUGAGGCCCUGGGUUCAAUCCUCAGCACCA
rnacentral:tRNA from 1 species